CCUACGGGAGGCAGCAGUGGGGAAUAUUGGGCAAUGGGCGCAAGCCUGACCCAGCAACGCCGCGUGAAGGAAGAAGGCUUUCGGGUUGUAAACUUCUUUUCUGAGGGACGAAGAAAGUGACGGUACCUCAGGAAUAAGCCACGGCUAACUACGUGCCAGCCGCCGCGGUAAUACGUAGGUGGCAAGCGUUAUCCGGAUUUAUUGGGUGUAAAGGGCGUGUAGGCGGGAAAGCAAGUCAGAUGUUAAAACUCAGGGCUCAACCCUGGGCCUGCAGUUGAAACUGUUUUUCUUGAGUGCGGGAGAGGCAAGCGGAAUUCUGGGUGUAGCGGUGAAAUGCGUAGAUAUACGGAGGAAUACCAGUGGCGAAGGCGGAUUGCUGGACAGUAACUGACGCUGAGGCGCGAAAGCGUGGGGAGCAAACAGGAGUAGAUACCCGAGUAGUC
rnacentral:rRNA from 1 species